GUUGUUUCUCGGCCUUUUAGCUAAGACCAAGUGUAGUAACUGUUGUCAGAUAAACAUCAGAUACGUCCCCUAUCCGAGGGUAAUAUAUUAAAUGGAUUUUUGGAGCAGGGAGUUGGAAUAGGAGCUUGCUCCGCCCACUUCACCCAUCCACGUGGUACUGCAGUACAUCCAGGAACACUGCACCCGCC
ensembl:snRNA U2 U2 spliceosomal RNA